AUCUCAUGUACUGUAGGGGGACCUCGAGGACCGCAAAUCCUCCCAGUUACACUUUGAUCAAAUGCCACAUAAUAUAUGACACUCCCACCUGCAGCUCUUCAUAUCUCUGUAGCUACACUGACAGUAUUGUGUUUGACUCUUGACUUUCUGAACAUGGAUGGGCAUUAGCAAACAUGGUCUCAUCAGCUUGUUACUAGUUCUACUCUGGAUAAAAAGUACAAAAAGAUCAGCACACUGCAUUAUUGGCCUCAGUGUCUCUUAGAGGGAUCAUGAGCACUGUGAACUUUCUGCUGUGUGCAAGUUAAAAUGGUCACUGAUGGUAACAGUUUUCAUACAGGUGUCACUCAGACUUGAUAUCUAAAUAUCUAUGAACUGAAAAAACUCCAUUACUGAGGAAAACUACAGUAUGUUUUACAUCAGCAGGGGAAACAAACCUCAACAACUGAAUUAAAGACAACAAGCUACACGUCCACUGACUGCAGUAUCAAGAUAACGUUCCUCCUUCCCUGCUGAUGAAGUUAAAGCUCUGAUGAAGACCUCUCUCUGACACCUCCCCUGUUCAUUAUACUCUGACAGUGAGGCACUCUCUUCCACAGGUGCUGAGCUGAGGACCUGAGAAGACUAACAUGAUGGUUAACAUGAUCUUCAUGGUCUUUAUAUUUGGUUUUCUUCAUCUUCCAGGAAAUAAGGGUGCCUCUAAAACCAAAAGUGUCCUCCAAACACCUUCUUUCAUCAUAAAGAGAACGGGUGAAUCUGUUGCCAGAGGGAUCAACUGUUCACACAGCAUAACAUAUUACGACAAUAUCCUCUGGUACAAACAACAACAAGAAGCUCUAAAGCUUCUGGGAUAUCUGAAUUUGAAAAUCUUAAAUCUCGAGGAGGACGUGAAAGGAAAAAUCAGCUUUGAUGGAGAAGGCAAUAAACAUUCCAGCCUCACUAUUUCUGAUCUUACAUUAAAUGACAGUGGUGUGUAUUUCUGUGCUGCCAGUCGACACAGUGCUUCAGAUUCCCCACAAGUCAAUACAAAAACUCUCCUUUAUCUGCCUGCAGAUAGACAACAUGUUGAGUCUCUGAACACCUGCAGCCAGCCUCCAUCUAAACCGAGCCUUUGA
rnacentral:lncRNA from 15 species